AUUGCUUUUCCUGUUCGGCUGCUUCCAGAGUUCGUGUAUUUCUUGUUCGUGAGUUGGGGAUUCGUACAGUUUGGAGUUCGGGAGGUUGGUGAUUGCAAUAGCUGCUGGUCUAUGGGAAAGGGGAUUAUCGCCUAAACGGAUUUUAUCCCAUUUGAGAGAAACGGUCCGUUACAAUUGGUGGCAGCGGUGGGAUCGUUCCUACAACCAGAAAGACAGCUACAGGGCAACACCAUUCCUUGGAUUACAAAGUGAGGGCAACGCCAGUACCCGUACAGCGACCCUAUCUACAAAAGAACUAACUUCAGCAGCGCAAGCAUGGCACCCAGCUACACUCAGGAGCAGUAUGACAGGGAGUUUACCAUGCGGCUGGCUUUCUUUGGACCCAACCCCCCGGAGAAAUACG